rnacentral:rRNA from 1 species
AACGAACGCUGGCGGCAUGCCUAACACAUGCAAGUCGAACGAGAUCUUCGGGUCUAGUGGCGCACGGGUGCGUAACGCGUGGGAAUCUGCCCUUUGGUUCGGAAUAACAGUUGGAAACGACUGCUAAUACCGGAUGAUGACGAAAGUCCAAAGAUUUAUCGCCAGAGGAUGAGCCCGCGUAGGAUUAGCUAGUUGGUGUGGUAAAGGCGCACCAAGGCGACGAUCCUUAGCUGGUCUGAGAGGAUGAUCCGCCACACUGGGACUGAGACACGGCCCAGACUCCUACGGGAGGCAGCAGUGGGGAAUAUUGGACAAUGGGCGAAAGCCUGAUCCAGCAAUGCCGCGUGAGUGAUGAAGGCCUUAGGGUUGUAAAGCUCUUUUACCCGGGAUGAUAAUGACAGUACCGGGAGAAUAAGCUCCGGCUAACUCCGUGCCAGCAGCCACAGUAA